AGGGUUUGAUCCUGGCUCAGAAUGAACGUUGGCGGCGUGGAUUAGGCAUGCAAGUCGCGCGAGAAAUCAAUUAGCUUGCUAAGAGAUGGACAGCGGCGAAAGGGAGAGUAAUACGUAGAAAUCUACCCCUUGGUCUGGGAUAGCGUCGGGAAACUGACGGUAAUACCAGAUAAAGUUUUCGAACCAAAGGUGUGAUUCCGCCGGGGGAUGAGUCUACGUGCUAUUAGCUAGUUGGUGAGGUAAUGGCCCACCAAGGCAACGAUGGCUAGCGGGUGUGAGAGCAUGACCCGCCUCACUGGGACUGAGACACUGCCCAGACACCUACGGGUGGCUGCAGUCGAGAAUCUUUGUCAAUGGACGAAAGUCUGAACAAGCGACGCCGCGUGCGGGAUGAAGGCCUUCGGGUUGUAAACCGCUGUCGUAGGGGAACAAAUGUAUUGAGGUACUCCUCUUUACUUGAGUGAUCCUAGGAGGAAGGACGGGCUAAGUUCGUGCCAGCAGCCGCGGUAAGACGAACCGUCCAAACGUUAUUCGGUAUCACUGGGCUUAAAGCGUGCGUAGGCGGCCUGGAAGGUGAGAUGUGAAAGCCCACGGCUCAACCGUGGAACUGCGUUUCAAACCACCAGGCUUGAGGAAGAUAGGGGUGAUGGGAACUUAUGGUGGAGCGGUGAAAUGCGUUGAUAUCAUCUGGAACACCGGUGGCGAAAGCGGCUCACUGGAUCUCUUCUGACGCUGAGGAACGAAAGCUAGGGUAGCGAACGGGAUUAGAUACCCCGGUAGUCCUAGCCGUAAACGAUGAACACUGGGUUGAGGGGACCUCCACAUCCUCUCGGCCGUAGCGAAAGCGUUAAGUGUUCCGCCUGGGGAGUAUGGUCGCAAGGCUGAA
rnacentral:rRNA from 1 species